rnacentral:rRNA from 1 species
AUUGAACGCUGGCGGCAUGCUUUACACAUGCAAGUCGGACGGCAGCACAGAGAAGCUUGCUUCUUGGGUGGCGAGUGGCGAACGGGUGAGUAACAUAUCGGAACGUACCGAGCAGUGGGGGAUAACUAAUCGAAAGAUUAGCUAAUACCGCAUAUAUUCUGAGGAAGAAAGCAGGGGACCAUUUGGCCUUGCGCUGUUUGAGCGGCCGAUAUCUGAUUAGCUAGUUGGUGGGGUAAAGGCCUACCAAGGCGACGAUCAGUAGCGGGUCUGAGAGGAUGAUCCGCCACACUGGGACUGAGACACGGCCCAGACUCCUACGGGAGGCAGCAGUGGGGAAUUUUGGACAAUGGGCGCAAGCCUGAUCCAGCCAUGCCGCGUGUCUGAAGAAGGCCUUCGGGUUGUAAAGGACUUUUGUCAGGGAAGAAAAGGGCGGGGUUAAUACCCCUGUCUGAUGACGUAC